AGAGAGAGAGAGAGAGAGAGAGAGAGAUGACUGAUCGAGGGGUGGCACAUCAGCUUUCAUCCCUUAAUCUCUCUAAUCUUAUCCUCGUCUUAUCACCGGGGAAGAAAAUCAGGUCUCGUCAGCGUCCCGUCUCAAAGGGGUCUCUGGGGCGUAAUACCCUUGUCCUGACGUCACCCUCCGUGCCUGCCGCGGGAAGCUGACGUGGGGAGGUAAACACUGACAUCACCUCGCCGCCUCUCAGGUUUCACGGCGCGUCUUCAUUCACUGGGACCGGAUGAACCGCGAGCCAUGUGCCGGAACAGAUUUCGAAGCGGCGUAUUUGAGUGAUUUCCUGUUUAUUUUACCCGUUUUCUUUCUUUUCUCGGUUUUAUAGUUACUUUUCCGUAUUUUUUUUUCUAAUUUCCUGCUUAUUUUCCCUUUUUGUAUUUUUUUCACGUUUAUAUGGUUAUUUUUACGCGUUUUAUUUUCUUGUUUUGUGCGAGUAUGCGUUUUCAAAAUUGUACCUUUCUUGUUUUCUUUUUGUCUCUGUGCUGUGCUGUUUCUGUGUGUGUGUGUGUGUGUGUGUGUGUGUGUGUGUGGAAGGGCCUCUUGUGUAAUCACUUAAUAACAGCGAGAAAUAAGUGUGUGCAUUGUCGAGGGGUGCUUGAAUAAAAGGGGGCGAGGGGAGGGGAGAGGAGGAAGAGGAGAAGAUGAUGAGGUAAUGGAGAAGAGAGGUGUGAAGAGAGGGAGGGAGAGGUGACGAAAGGGAGGGAGGGGGAAGGGAGUGUGAGGUAAGGGCCGGUUUUGCUUCUCUUAUUACACCUCAAGAGAAGGGAGAUUGAAGUAAGGUCAGUUAGGGAAGAGAAGAAAAGGGAGAUUGAAGUAAGGUCAGUUAGGGAAGAGAAGAAAAGGGAGAUUGAAGUAAGGUCAGUUAGGGAAGAGAAGAAAAGGGAGAUUGAAGUAAGGUCAGUUAGGGAAGAGAAGAAAAGGGAGAUUGAAGUAAGGUCAGUUAGGGAAGAGAAGAAAAGGGAGAUUGAAGUAAGGUCAGUUCCUCCUUCUCUUCCUACAUCUAAGAGAGGGAAGAAAAGGAAGAAAAAGGAGAGGAGUGUGAGGUGGAGCCAUUUCUUACUUCUCUUCCUACACCUAAAGAGAAGGGAAGAGAAGGAGAUUGAGGGAAGGGUUUAGUUAGGGCCAGUAUUUUCGCCUCCUCUCCCACCUACUAAAGAAAGAACCCGUCACUCUCAGCAUCGUUACCAACUCAACACUACCGGAAAACAAUGCAUAAUAGAAAGAAAAAGUAGCAUCGCAAAAAGCCGAGGCGUUGAAACAAAAGACAAGCGUGACAGGUCAAAUUCAGCGCAACCCAGAAAUCGGAUCUAGUCAGUCAGCGUGAGACUGAUAAAGUGCAAAAGAGCAAGAAGGAAAAAAAGACAGUCAACACAUCUUGGUAAACUUUGAAAGGAAGAUAAACAAAAGGAAAUGUGUGAUACUGGCGAUAAAAAAGUAACAGGAAAAAUAAUUAUACGCGGUUCGGUGACUUUGAAUGCAUGAGACAGACGGCAACGCAUAUUACUGGUGAUGAAAACAAAGACUUAGUAAACUUUGAUAAGAAGAUAAACAAGAGGAACUGUGUGAUACUGGCGAUAAAAAAGUAAUAGGAAAAAUAACUAUACGCGGUUCGGUGAAUUUGAAUGCAUGAGACAGACGGCAUCGCAUAUUACUGGUGAUGAAAACAAAGACUUAGUAAACUUUGAUAAGAAGAUAAAGUAAAUGAAAUGUGUUAUAAUGACGAUGUGGAAAAAGUAGUAGAAAAAAACAGUCCUACGCGGUUCGGUUACUUUGAAUGAGCGACAAAAGGCAACGCGUGAAAUUAAUGAAAAAAAAAAAAACUUCGCAAACUUUGAUAAGAAGAGAAACAAAGGAAAUGUGUAAUAUUAACGACGUAAAAAAAAGGUGAUAGGAAGAAAAACUGACACUUCACACUUCGUUAAACUUUGAUAUGAGAAACAAACGCAUAAACUGUCGAUGAGAAACCUUCGUAACCUUUGAAUAGAAGAUAAACAAAAGGAAUAGUGCAGUGUUGUCGAUGGAAAAAAGAAAAAAAAACGAUCUACACACUUCGUUAAUUUUGAUAUGAGAAAUAAAUGGCAACUCAUAAUACUGGUGAUGGAAAAAGCACUGUAUGAACUCUGAUAAGAAGAUAAAAGAAAGGAAAUGGAUAAGAUUGAAAACAGGAAAGACGCGCAGAAAAAUUGACACACACACACACACACACACACACACACACACACACACACACACACACACACACACACACACACACACACACUGAAAAAAGUAAAAAAAAAAAUAUCAAAGUGAAAAGAAAAAAAAUGAUAAAACGAAAUGAAACAAAACAAAACAAAAGAAAUAAAGGAAAACAAUACACCUCUCUGAAGGCUAAUUAGAAAGGAGGAAAUGGGUCAGGAAAUUGGUUAAAAAAAAAAAAUAUAAUAAUCAGACGAAGUGAAAAGAAAAAAAAUAAUAAAACGAAAUGAAACAAAACAAAACAAAAGAAAUAAAAGAAAACAAUACACCUCUUUGACAGCUAAUUAGAAAGGAGGAAAUGGGUCAGGAAAUUG